rnacentral:rRNA from 1 species
CAGAGGGUGCAAGCGUUAAUCGGAAUUACUGGGCGUAAAGCGUACGUAGGUGGAUUGAUAAGUCGGAUGCGAAAGCCCCGGGCUUAACCUGGGAAUUGCAUACGAUACUGUUAAUCUAGAGUCGUGUAGAGGGAAGUGGAAUUUCCGGUGUAGCGGUGAAAUGCGUAGAUAUCGGAAAGAACACCAGUGGCGAAGGCGGCUUCCUGGACACAGACUGACACUGAAGUACGAAAGCGUGGGGAGCAAACAGGAUUAGAUACCCUGGUAGUCCACGCCGUAAACGAUGAGAACUAGAUGUUGGAAGGUUAAACCUUUUAGUAUCGAAGCUAACGCGUUAAGUUCUCCGCCUGGGGAGUACGGCCGCAAGGUUA